AAGAUAUUAGUAAAAACAUUACAUAACUUUGUCAAAGUUAAUUUAUAGGUUUAACUCCUAUAUGUCUUC
rnacentral:tRNA from 1 species